UGGGGAAUUUUGGACAAUGGGCGAAAGCCUGAUCCAGCCAUGCCGCGUGAGUGAAGAAGGCCUUCGGGUUGUAAAGCUCUUUUAGUCGGAAAGAAAGAGUCGCAAUGAAUAAUUGUGAUUUAUGACGGUACCGACAGAAAAAGCACCGGCUAACUACGUGCCAGCAGCCGCGGUAAUACGUAGGGUGCGAGCGUUAAUCGGAAUUACUGGGCGCAAAGGGUGCGCAGGCGGUCUUGCAAGACAGAUGUGAAAGCCCCGGGCUUAACCUGGGAAUUGCGUUUGAAACUACAAGGCUAGAGUGCAGCAGAGGGGAGUGGAAUUCCAUGUGUAGCAGUGAAAUGCGUAGAGAUGUGGAAGAACACCGAUGGCGAAGGCAGCUCCCUGGGUUGACACUGACGCUCAUGCACGAAAGCGUGGGGAGCAAACA
rnacentral:rRNA from 1 species